rnacentral:rRNA from 1 species
AACGAACGCUGGCGGCGCGCCUAAUACAUGCAAGUCGAGCGAGAAGACGUAGCAAUACGUUUGUAAAGCGGCGAACGGGUGAGGAAUACAUGGGUAACCUACCCUCGAGUGGGGAAUAACUAGCCGAAAGGUUAGCUAAUACCGCGUACGCUCCUUGGACUUCGGUUCAGGGAGGAAAGCGAUACCGUGGGUAUCGCGCUCUUGGAUGGGCUCAUGUCCUAUCAGCUUGUUGGUGAGGUAACGGCUCACCAAGGCUUCGACGGGUAGCUGGUCUGAGAGGACGAUCAGCCACACUGGCACUGCGACACGGGCCAGACUCCUACGGGAGGCAGCAGUAAGGAAUAUUGCGCAAUGGGCGAAAGCCUGACGCAGCGACGCCGCGUGGGGGAUGAAGGUCUUCGGAUUGUAACCCCUUUCGGGAGGGAAGAUGGAACGAGCAAUCGUUCGGACGGUACCUCCAGAAGCAGCCACGGCUAACUUCGUGCCAGCAGCCGCGGUAA